UACGGGGGGGGCAAGCGUUGUUCGGAUUCAUUGGGCGUAAAGGGUGCGUAGGCGGCGCGGUAAGUCGGGUGUGAAAUCUCGGAGCUUAACUCCGAAACUGCAUUCGAUACUGCCGUGCUUGAGGACUGGAGAGGAGACUGGAAUUUACGGUGUAGCGGUGAAAUGCGUAGAUAUUGGGAGGAACACCAGUGGCGAAGGCGGCUCACUGGACCGGUUCUGACGCUGAGGCGCGAAAGCGUGGGGAGCAAACGGG
rnacentral:rRNA from 1 species